CUAGAAAGUCCUCUAGAAAACUGCUUCCCCCUUAAACAUAUUUCAUUGGUAUUUCAUUGGUUCACCAUCCUCUGAGUGAAGACUGUGUUUCUCUCACCAUUUUCAUCAGCUCAGUCCAAAACUGCUCACCCAGACCCUGAGACCGUCACCCCUUGUUCCGGAUUCUCCCUGCAUCCAGUCUGUCAAGCCCUGUCAGAAUUUUGCAUAUUUCAAAGUACGUUCCUCUCACCUUCACAUCUUCACAGUCAACACAGGCACUUUAGAAUGAGGAGAAGUGAUUUUUGACUUUUCACUCUGUUUUGUCUGUUCAUAAAUAAAUUGCUGUCAUGGUGGGACAUUUCAUAAACUGUUUGUAGUUUGUGACACAGUCUGUGAUCGAUAUAUUAAAUGGACGUUGAAAUGGGGAUUAAUUUGAAUCUAUUAUUUGUAUUCAGAUAAAGCAAUAGUAUCCCCAAACUGUACUACUUGCGGGCAUGAUGUGUUGUGUAGAGCAAAUUCAAAUGAUCAUUCAUAUUCACAAACAACAGAUUUACCAAUUCAAACAAAGCAAAAGUAAGAUUACUUGGAAAACCUCUUCUUUCUCUGUUUGUUUUAUAGAUUACUCUGUGGCGCUUUAGGUUCAAACUGCACCAUCUCCAAGAGUGACCUCUCUUGCAUCUGCAGUCAGAGCCAAACAUCCAGCAACAAUCACGGGGAGACUCAGUGGCAGAAACAUCACGGUGAAUGCUUCAGAAGUUACAGUCCAUUCCUGGUCGGUGGGUAAUCACCUACAGCAAAGCUCACUAACACUGACUCCCCCAGGUGGAUCUGAAAAGCUGAUCAUAUGCGGGGAAGAGUACCAGCAGGUCAUUAGUAUCUGGAAGCAACAAGUCCACUCAACAGGCAACAAGCAACGCUAACUGCUGGACCACAUACUACGUUGUAUCUUGUUGAAAUACUUGGUGCUGUCAGGUAGUUAAUCUAGAUUUUAACUUUCUUAAAGGCACAGUGCACCCAGAUCUUCAUAACAACUGGCACUGCAGAAAGCAUUAUUGGGUUACACUGAAUACAAGGCGAUAAGCAGAUGGACUCUGUGAAGUUAGGGACCAUGUGCAGGAUUACUGCGGGCGAUGUGACGGUGCGGAGAAUGAAUGUACUUCAGUGACAUUCCUCUCAUCACAAACACUGGUCAUGUUUCCUUGUUUCAUCCACACGUGUUACACAUACAAACAGGGCUCGAUCAUUCAGCUUCGCAAUCCUGAUCUGGUAUCCAAUGAGAUCAUGGCUGAUUUGUGGCAUUUGGCCCCAAUCACUUGAUACCUUUGCUUCACAAAGGAAGUAUCUCUCUCAGAUAUAAAAUGAACAACGGAUCCUACAUCAUCUGCCAUUUAUGGAAGAGAUCUCCAAACAUCACCCAACCCUUUGUGUGUCGAAGUCUUCCUAACAUCUCUCCUGAAUACUCUGGGUCUAAUUCUGACACUGUGCCUCUCGAUAUAAAAUCUCAAAUCAGUGGAAUUACACUAUAUUCAUCUGCCCUGUCUUUUCCUGUUAAAGUCUUCAAUCAGAUGUUAAAGCUUCCAGUGAAAUUAGAACUAAUUGCUUCCAAAAUUUUCUGAUGAUGUUAAAUAUGAUGGUGUGGCAAUGAGAGACGAUGGUACUAAACAACGGGACACUGAUGGACAGAUAGGACGGUGUGUAACACACACUAACUCACCUCUUGUGCCCAGAGCAUCUCAUAAGAAAUUCAUUCCCCUCUUCAGGUGGCGACAUCCACCAUGUCCAUCUCAGAUUCUGAGGUACCUUCAAUGUUUGAUGCAGAGGGAGAUCCCACAGGUUCCAGAACAGUCAGAAAGGCUGCCGAGUUGCUGGGCAUGUUUUGCUCAUGCACUGGUUGUGAGUUCGCCACUUCCAUAUGGUGCACAUGCUUGUUCAGGACAGUAAUAACUCCCUGAACUUUACAUGUCACUGGACCUGGCCUGACGUUGACCAUGCCCCUUACCCAUUGCAGGGUCAUUCCUGUGGUUCCUACACCAGGUUUCACCCCCGAUCUAAACUGUCUAUGUCACUUUGCAUCUGGCAGUAACUUUCCUGAUGCUGUUUCACCCCUCCCUGGUCCAGGAUGAUCAGAUUUAACCAGGCACAGCAUCUUCUCCCCAUGAACAACUCUGCUGGAGCUACCUGUGUAGCUGCAUUAAGGGUGGUCCUCUAAUCAAAUAGGAACUGGGACACUUUGGGAAUCUAGUAAAGAUGGAGGUUGUUUCUUUGAACCAGUCUUCAGAGUUUGGACUGUUCUUUCAGCUAAACCAUUGGAUGAUGGAUGAUAUAGAACUGUCCUUUAUUUUGAAUAUUCAAAUCACCUGCUGGUAAGUAAUGGCCCAUUAUCUGUGACCAACACUUCUGGAAGUCCAUAUAUUGCAAAAAAUGAACACAGUUUUUCUAUUGUCAUCCCCGUGUUUGGGAAUUAACUCCUUGCAUGUCCAGUCACUUUGUAUGGGUGCACACAAUGACCCAGAGCAUUAAGCCCAUGAAAGGAUUACAUAGGUGACAUGUAACUGAGUCCAGGGUUUACCCAGCCAUUCCCACGAGUUUGGGGGAGCUGUUGGCGCUAACUUGGCUCCCGAUUGCUCUAUGGGAACUGCCCCACCAAUGCAGCUAUGUCUGCAGUUCAACAAGUAUCCAGCAGUGAUCAGGAGAAACACUCUUGCUCCCAAUAACAAUUAGCCAUCGUCCAAGGUGAUGUGGCGACUCUGGGUCCAAAAAUAGUUGUAAUGGCCCUUUGGUAUCCUCCAUCAUCACCAGCUGCUUCAGUUUUGUCAGGACUGCGGAUCUUUCUGCAUCUAAAGUCUUAUGUUGUCAGCUGUGAUUGGAAAUGUGUCCAUAAAUUGAAAACCACCACAGCCUCUUCCAGUGGCGAUACCACCGGUGAUGAAUCUGCCAGCGGGAGGUGGCUCGAUGUCCCCUCAUUUGCUACUUGGCCUCCCAGAUGGUGUUCCAACUUGUAAUUAUUUGCACUUGGUGUGAGAGCCCGCUGUUAAACUUGGCCUGAAGCUAUGGGCAGCACUGCUUUAUCCUCUUCAUGUAGACCUAGCAGGGAUUUGUGGAUGAUUAUUAUUGUAAAUUUAUAUCUGUAAAGGUAUUGGUGAAACUUCCUGAUUCCACAUAUGACACCAAACCUUCCUUGUCUCUCUGGGCAUCUUUAUAUUCUGCAUUAAUCAAAGUGCUGGGUGCAUCAUUUAAUGGGCAUUCCUCUCCUUUGGGCCAGUUAUGAGCUAAUACUACCCCAGUACGGGGGAGCACACAUGACAUUACCAGCUCUUUCUGGGACUUAUUGCAUGCCAAGACCUUACAGGAUGAUAGCUUUAUUUUUAUUCAAUCAAGGGAUAAGGGCACCAGUAGCUGGGCCAUCCCUAAUUGC